rnacentral:misc_RNA from 1 species
AAAUAAAUAAAUAAAUAAAGAAAUACAAAACCAAAACCUAGAUCUUUUUUUUUUAAAUAGAAGAAAAAACUUUUAAACUCAACGAAGCUAAACAACUUUUCCCUGAGCAAUUCAAUCCAAACAAGUUUUAAAAUCAACAAAGCUAAAACAAAUUUUCCUUGAGCAAUUCAAUCUAAACAAGUUUUAAACUCAACAAAACUAAAACAAGUUUUCCAUUAAGAAAAAAAACUUUUAAACUCAAAAAACCUUAUAUUUACUUAAGCAAUUCAAUCUAAACAAGUUUCAUACCUCAACCCAAAUGAACAAAGAAAUAAACACAAUAGAAACCCCCUCUCACUUCCAUUUCCACAAUUUUUAAAAUUCAACAAAGCUAAAACAAACCAUUUUCACAAACAUAACCAAGCUAAAAACAAAGACUCAGCUCAACUCCCCACUUAUCAUUACCAACACAGCAAAGAGGCACAUCAAUCUAAAAGGGCGAAAAAAAAUCCCCAAAAAAAAGAGACAAAAGCGAUCGAAUUAUCCGAUCCAGAGAAACAGAAGAGCCAGAAAAAGAGUAUAGGAACAGAUCCGAGUAUAAUAGGACCAAAAAAAAAAAGUCGAAAA